CCACGCUAAUGCUACAUUUAGAUGCAAGAAUUUGACAGCUUCAUUACUGUGAUUGUCCCUGAGCACUUAUGUAAGGAAAGAGGCUGUUCUCCCCACCAGCUCCCAGGCCCACAGCAUCUAUGCCUGAGUUCCUCAGCAUUUGGAGAGGAGGUGGCCACUGGUUGUACUGACCCCAGACCGCUGUCAUAGGGUAAACGUUCCAGGUGUCAUGGAGAUUGAGGAGUGGGGAAAACAUUCCCACGGUUGAGAAUUUUAAUAUAACAGUUAUAAUAAUUAUGGUAUUUGUGCUACCAUUUAUUGAGUUCCUCUAUGUUAGGCACCUCAUUUCCUCCUCACAACCACCCUGCCAGGCAGAUAUUGCUAUCACCAUUUAACAAGGAAAAGGAUGAGAUUCAGAGAGGCACAGUAACCACGCUUUCAGCUGCGAGGUAGAGAACACUCAGCCACAAGUGGCUGAGACGCAUGGUCAUCAAGUCUAAAAGUGAGAACUCAGAGGUAAUGCUGCAGUAAUUCUUGCCUGCUAUCUUGCAAAUGAGAGACAGGGCAGGACAGCGUGGCUGGAUCAGUGAGGCACCGUCAUAAACGAGGAAGAAGGUGGGUUGAAGAACUAAGAGGUCUGUAUUCCAGCCCCAGGUCUGCCACUUUCUAUCUGUGUUACCUUGGGUAAGUUAUUUAAUCUUUCUGAACCUCACUUUUCCAAUCUGUAAAGCAAGAAGAAGUUUGGACUAAUCUCUAAAAUUUCGUCCAGCUCUAAUAUUCUAUAGAUACAAUGCAAUUUUUACUGAGCAGCCGUGAGCAACAUUGUACAGUUUCUCACAUUAUUUCUUUAAAAACUGGUCAAAAUGCAUCUGCAUGCCAUAUGAAAGGGGGAGGUCAUUAUUCUUGCAUAUGGAGACCAGGACAUCAUACAAUAGAAUUAGAUAUAGAAUAUAAUAUUGUAGACUCUUUUAAAAUGUCUUUAAUUUGCAUUACAAAUUGUGUUUUGAAUUCUUAUCACUUUAAGUGGCUUAUGAGUGUUUUACAUUUACAGCAGAGCUCAUCUUCCAGACCCGUCUGCUAUUUCUAGUUUCCAUUUUGUUGGAGACACCAUCUCUUUAUAACCAAAUGAGGAACGUGGCAAAGCUGGGGGAAAUUUUCCUGCCUGUCUUUUUUUGCUCUCUCUCCCCCUUUGACCAGAAAUAGUAUCUUGGCAGUGGAUCUCUUUGUCUCUAAAAAAAAAAAAAAAAAAAAACAGGAAAAGGAAAUGGCAGUUGAUGAUCUGCUUUCUGAAACAGUGUCAGAAAGAUCUGAAGGAUGGGAUGUUAGCUUUGCACUGAAGCACCUUCAGUUUCUGCUUUUACCGUAUUUGCAGGAAGCUUCCUGACACUAACGGGGAAAAGAAACAGUGGCCAGAGACUGUUUCCUGAAAAAUGUGCAGGAAGGGUAAUGCGGAGGCCAAGACAAAUGUGUGGGAUGAGCUCCAGCCGGGCCUCAAAACAGAAGCUGAUGACACUCACAGGCUUCUGGGGCUCCUAGGAGGCCUUGUCACAUUCCACAUUUUUUCUGCAAGAGCUCAAAAGUUGCCUUCUCUGGAAGCUUCCGUGACUUCAGCAGAUGUUUUCCCCUUUCUUGGUUCACUCUGUCAUUUUGGUGGAGCACAUCUUCAGUAGCCUCUUGGAUGCAUGGGAGGUUAAACCACAUUUCCCAUCUCCACCUGCAGUUGGUUGAGGCCACGUGACUGAAUUCCGGGCAAUGGAACGUGAGCAGAAGAGAUGCGUGCUGCUUCCAGGCUCAGCUCACAAAAAUCUGCCAUUGUGGUCCCCGUUGUUUUUUCCCCUUCUGCGAGUUCCCCCUGGAAGCCACAUGUUAAGGAUGGUGAAACCACAAAGUGGAAGGAAACUUGGUCCCCGAAUCACAGCUUGAAGGAGAGAUUUAUGCCUGUUAGAAACACUCGCUUUGGACUUUACAUGAGUGAGAAGUAUACUUCUAUUUUGUUAAGCCAUGAGAUUCUUGGGUUUAUCUAUUAAGGCAGCUGGCAUUAACUAAAAUAUCAUGUAAAGCAUUCUGCAUAAUACCUGACAAAAUACCUGCUGAAUAAAUGUUAGUGUUAUUGG